UAGUGCGGGAGGAAGACUGGUGUGUAGGGCUCGCCGGGCAGGCAGGAAGCAGCAGCCGGAGGCGGAGGCGGGCCGGUUACCCGCCUGCUGCCGGGAGCGAGCCGGGUGGCCGGGAAAGACGAACGCCCGAACACCACCAUGAUCCCGCUGGAGAAGCCCGGCAGCGGCCGCCCCUCGUCGGCCGCCGCCUCCGGCUUGGGCCCGGUCAGCAGGGGUCGGACGGUACGUCACCGUCCGCCGCCCCAGGCUCGAGGGUUGCUGACGGAGAUCCGCGCCGCGGUGCGCACCGAGCCCUUCCAGGACAGCUAAAGUGAGCCCGGGCCGGGAGCUGGGCAGGGGGAAAUUUGCAGUGGUGAGAAAAUGUGUAAAGAAAGAUUCUGGAAAAGAAUUUGCAGCACAGUUCAUGAGAAAAAGAAGAAAAGGCCAAGACUGUCGGAUGGAAAUUAUUCAUGAGAUUGCGGUGCUCGAGCUGGCCCAGGACAGCCCUUGGGUCAUUAACUUACAUGAAGUCUAUGAGACUCCAUCAGAAAUGAUCUUGGUUCUGGAAUAUGCUGCAGGGGGUGAAAUCUUUGAUCAGUGUGUCGCAGACCGAGAAGAUGCCUUUAAAGAAAAAGAUGUGCAGAGACUCAUGCGACAGAUUUUAGAAGGUGUGCACUUUCUACACACUCAUGAUGUAGUUCAUCUUGAU